AGCAAAUUCUUUGCUCUAAAUACCAAAAUGAAAAUGAGAUUUCAAGAUUUUGGUAAGGGUUCCCCUUUGAGGAACGAUUUGAAAAGCUGAAGAGCGGCUCUUGGUUUGAACAAUGGAACUUCAUGCCCUGCUCCUCUAACUGUUGCAAAGCUGUGAAAUGGAAUAUCUUGUCGCCGUUACAGGCACCACUGAGUCCACAUCUCCACUGAAAAUCAUUUCCCACAAACUUCAUCAUCGGGCGGUUGAUAAAAUGCCUCAAAGAAAUGGAAGAUACUUUUUUGGCUCGAUCAGCAUGAUUUAUUGAUAGGUGUUAAUGAGCUCGUGGUACGUCUUGUCCGAGAUCAUGGCAUGGCUCCACCAUGGAUACGAAGUGAACGGGGAGAGAAGUAACAAGACGAGAGAAAAGGACAACAGAAAAAGCUGAGGAAGUUACCAUAAUUCCCUUGAGAUGAAUAGGGUGGGAGGACUUUGCAUUGUAGGCCAAGAUUUCUCUGGCAAGCUGGGGAACAUAAUGGCCAGCAUAGCUUUCACCUGUUAUAAAAAUGUCGCGGGUCUUGUACCAGGGGAAACGGUUGAGCCAUCGUACAAGGAACUCUAAGGAGUCCUUUGCUGAAACAAUGUUUAUGAUCAGUCACAAGUCCAUCCGUCCGUCCAUGCAUCCAGAUAGGGGUACCAGUUCGACGAUCACCGGUGUUGAGUAGGUCGGAGGAGCGAUUGGUGUAGGAGAACCCGACGCCAGCUGGAGUUUCAAGAAAGAGGAGGUUGGCGAGGGAGUUCCAAGAGAACUUAUUGGGUACUAAGCCCGAGGCCUUAUUGUUGAUUCUAAAGGGACCAAUCUCUUCUGAAGCUCCAUACGCUAUGGAGGAGCAACCCGGACCUAACAAUUACUUAAAUCAAAUGCAUUUCAAUAAUAAUAUUAAAUAACUAAGGUCAAGUUUGGUAAUAUUUUGUUUUGUAUUUUUGGAUUUUAAAAUUAAACCUAAAGGCACUUCUUACAUCUCUAA